ensembl:snRNA U6 U6 spliceosomal RNA
AUACAUCGCUUUGGCAGUACAUAUACUAAAAUUGGAACCAUACAGAGAAGAUUAGCAUGGCCUCUGCGCAAGGAUGACAUGCAAAUUUGUGAAGCGUUCUACAGUUUU